rnacentral:rRNA from 1 species
UACGUAGGGGCAAGCGUUGUCCGGAUUUAUUGGGCGUAAAGAGCGUGUAGGCGGUCAGGUAGGUCCGUUGUGAAAACUCGAGGCUCAACCUCGAGACGCCGAUGGAAACCAUCUGACUAGAGUCCGGAAGAGGAGAGUGGAAUUCCUGGUGGUAGCGGUGAAAUGCGCAGAUAUCAGGAAGAACACCCGUGGCUAAGGCGGCUCUCUAGUACGGUACUGACGCUGAGACGCGAAAGCGUGGGGAGCGAACAGG